CGACAGACACCUGCUCAAAAGAGCCCUGAUUCUUUUCCUUGUUCUCACACUUUAUACAAGGAGCUAAAGGAGCCUUUUGAAAUGGACUACUGGAGACAAAUUUGAGCUUCCAUAUUGAAACAGGAGUAGUACCUGUAAACAAGGUCUUCCGAUAGGGGCAGCAAAUAGUUGGCACAAAUCCAUCAGUAGAGGCUACAAUUCUCAGUCCUCUAUCUUGAUACAAGGAAGUUG
rnacentral:misc_RNA from 1 species